rnacentral:rRNA from 1 species
CUUAACACAUGCAAGUCGAGCGGAAACGAUGAUAGCUUGCUAUCAGGCGUCGAGCGGCGGACGGGUGAGUAAUACUUAGGAAUCUACCUAGUAGUGGGGGAUAGCUCGGGGAAACUCGAAUUAAUACCGCAUACGUCCUACGGGAGAAAGCAGGGGAUCUUUGGACCUUGCGCUAUUAGAUGAGCCUAAGUCGGAUUAGCUAGAUGGUGGGGUAAAGGCCUACCAUGGCGACGAUCUGUAGCUGGUCUGAGAGGAUGAUCAGCCACACCGGGACUGAGACACGGCCCGGACUCCUACGGGAGGCAGCAGUGGGGAAUAUUGGACAAUGGGGGGAACCCUGAUCCAGCCAUGCCGCGUGUGUGAAGAAGGCCUUUUGGUUGUAAAGCACUUUAAGCAGUGAAGAAGACUCUUCGGUUAAUACCCGGGGACGAUGACAUUAGCUGCAGAAUAAGCACCGGCUAACUCUGUGCCAGCAGCCGCGGUAAUACAGAGGGUGCAAGCGUUAAUCGGAAUUACUGGGCGUAAAGCGAGCGUAGGUGGCUUGAUAAGUCAGAUGUGAAAUCCCCGGGCUUAACCUGGGAACUGCAUCUGAAACUGUUAGGCUAGAGUAGGUGAGAGGGAAGUAGAAUUUCAGGUGUAGCGGUGAAAUGCGUAGAGAUCUGAAGGAAUACCGAUGGCGAAGGCAGCUUCCUGGCAUCAUACUGACACUGAGGCUCGAAAGCGUGGGUAGCAAACAGGAUUAGAUACCCUGGUAGUCCACGCCGUAAACGAUGUCUACUAGUCGUUGGGUCCCUUGAGGACUUAGUGACGCAGCUAACGCAAUAAGUAGACCGCCUGGGGAGUACGGCCGCAAGGUUAAAACUCAAAUGAAUUGACGGGGGCCCGCACAAGCGGUGGAGCAUGUG